AUUGAACGCUAGCGGGAUGCCUUACACAUGCAAGUCGAACGGAGUGGCGAACGGGUGAGUAAUGUAUCUGAACGUGCACAGUAGCGGGGGAUAACUACGCGAAAGCGUCGCUAAUACCGCAUACUAUUGGAGCGGCCGAUGUCGGAUUAGCUAGUUGGUGGGGUAACGGCCCACCAAGGCGACGAUCCCUAGCUGGUUUGAGAGGACGACCAGCCACACUGGGAUUGAGACCCGGCCCAGACUCCUACGGUGGGGAGCAGGUGGGAAUUGUGGACAAUGGGGGAAACCCUGAUCCAGCCAUCCCGGGUGUGCGAUGAAGGCCUUCGGGUUUUAAAGCACUUUUGGCAGGAGAGCGUUACCUGCAGAAUAAGCACCGGCUAACUACGUGCCAGCAGCCGCGGUAAUUC
rnacentral:rRNA from 1 species